rnacentral:lncRNA from 1 species
CACAACUUCUCAUGGAAUGUACUUUGGGCAAUGCUACUAGAAAAAGUACAAAUGAAGUUCUUACCUUCGGCUUCCCAUUUGAUUAAACAAGUCCUGUCCCAUAGGCUUUGAUGGCUCCACUCUGCUUGCAAAGAUCAAACUCUAAAGUAAACCAAUAGAGCUGAUCAAGACACAAAAUGGAAAAAGAAUGGAGCGGUGACUGAAACCAAAUAUCUAAUCAACAGUGCCAAGGACUGGAAGAUCCCUCAAGAGGCUGAGAGGCAACCCAGCUCUUCCCUAUUUCAACCGCAUCCCGAUCUUCAGGCAGGACCGAGAGCUUUCGUACUGCUCUCCUAAUGCAUCACCCUAAGUCCCCUGGAUCCCUCUUCUGUCAAAGUUCAAUUAUAUCUGAGGCUUAGUUCAAGGGUCCUCUUCUUCAAACUUUCUCAUGACUCUGGACCCCACUGAGCAUUUCCUUUUCUUCAAUUAGAUCACCCUUUCAUGUAUUCAUUAAAAGCACAUUGAACACUUACCAUAUGCAUGAUACAGUGCUGGGAAAUACAGAUCUGAAAUAGACAAAGAUCCUACCCCCCAGAGGAGCCCACAAUUUCUACCACUGGAAGAGGAAUGAAGAGAAGACAAUGAAGGCUCAGUUCUAAGGAAGGCUUCAGGAGAUGAAGAUACAGUAAGUUGUGGGCACAUUGCCUUGUAGAACACAUCCAACAGCAUUCUCACCAUGAUCACAUCAAGUCAUCAGAACACAGCCUGGCUCAGGGGUGAAAGUGGUCCAUACCAGAUUCAUGAUUGGUUACCAGGUGAUGGCAGUUGUCAAGAUCUUGUAUUUUUCCAUGGAAACAAGGAAACCAUAAGAAGGAUAAAAGAAGAUACCCAAGGUAAGAGAGAGAGGAGACAUUAGAAUUAAUCAUUUAUAGGAUAAGGGCAUAUAGAUGAGAAUCUUGGGGGGAAAAAGCAAUGCAGAAGCUUGGGUGAGUAACGCACACUAUCAUCAUCAUCAUCAUAUCAUCAUCAUCAUCACUGUCUUCGUCGUUGUCAUCAUUAUCAUCAUAUGCACAUGUGUCCUAGUUUGGGUCUUUCAGAAGCAGACUCUGAGAAAAGGAUCCUGGUGAAAAUAGUAUAGCUGGAAACUAAAAAUUGAAAAAUGGGAAAUAGAGACAGAUAAAGAAAGGUAAUAAUUACACGGAGUGUCAUCAAGCAGGCAGCUAUUAUUGUGGGCAACUGAACUUACUGCCUCUGAGAGUCAGUGAGGGAGAAAGCCUCUACCAGUUCUUACUGGUCAUUGGUAGAGGAAUGAUGGGAAGUUAUUAAUUCCUAGGAACUUUUGGCCUACCAUAAAGGCAAAGUGCUUUAGAACCUGAAUAAAACUUUUAAAAAGAGAAACAGGAGCUGGCAGUUGGCAGUCAGCCAUUCUGCACUAAAGAGGAAAGGGCAGAAGGGUCGGGGGGAGGGUCACUGAGAGCAUCUGAAACAAUUUUGCUUUUAGAGGGUAAGAGACAGAUGGUAGUUAACAUGUAUUGAAUGCUUAGAAUUCAUUUAAUUUUCACAGUCUGCAUAGAAAGUGUGUAUUAUUGUUGGCAUUUUGUAGUUAACAAGAAGUACAGAGAGGUAACAUAUUUGUUCAUGUGGGAAUAGCUGGUAAAUGGCACAGCUGGGAGUUGAAUCCAGAGGUCCUGACUCAAACCUU